rnacentral:rRNA from 1 species
CUACAAUGGUCGGUACAGAGGGUUGCCAAACCGCGAGGUGGAGCUAAUCUCACAAAACCGAUCGUAGUCCGGAUCGCAGUCUGCAACUCGACUGCGUGAAGUCGGAAUCGCUAGUAAUCGUGAAUCAGAAUGUCACGGUGAAUACGUUCCCGGGCCUU